GUGGUACCCGAGGCCGGGCCGGAGCCGCAGGCCAGCCGCGAUUCCUUCGGGCGAUGCUGGGGGCUUUCCGGUCGGGGCCGCAGCCGCUUCCGGAGCCGCGGGCGAGGUGCGUUCCCCAGCCUGGUUUGCUCUGGGCUCUGACCCGCCGCCGCGAAUCUCCGCUCGUAACUCCGGGCCUGAACCUGGAGGAGGGAGGAUUUCCUCUGUGCAGCUUUCGAGCGGUAGACUCACCCUGCCAGGCAGACCUAGAUUGGCAUAACCAGAGAUCAGUUCCAGUUGUGAUGCAGUGGGUGUCUACACACUUCUGAUGACACCUUUAUUUUAAAAGCUGAUGUUCCAAGUCGAUUCACCAUGAUCUUGGCUGGCUGUCUUCUUCCUUCAUGGCUGCUAGUAAUGACAAUUCAGUGGCUGUUUCUUCAGCUGUGCAAAGUUGGAACAUGUUUGGGAGUUCAACGGCAUUGGUUUCUGGUGCAAGCGGUCUUCUCUGUCUUCUUUAUGGCCAGUAAAAUUCUCCAGAAGAGAUUUAUGGCAGCCUCACUCCCAGUAGUUUCUGCAUUUAGUGAGAUAAGGAAUGGAUUUUCUUCUGUGUAUUGCUGACACGAACAGGAGACGGAAAUACUGAGUAGAAGAGGGCGGUUCCCUGGCUAAGGCCCCACCCUCAAGCCUGGAUACCCGCGGCCCUAAAUGAGAAGAGGCGUUUCUGUUUGGGGCCCAAAAAGUUGCUUUUUGACCCACCACGCCCCCUAUCCUGCCCCCAUAUAAACCCCAAACCCCAACCUCCAGAGCAUACCAGCAGGUGAGGAGAUACGAGGCAAGCCGACUGACGGCAAAACGACGUAGCAGAGAAAGAGAGAAGAGGAGGGACGUCUGGACACCGAGAGAUGUUUGGCUCGGGGCAGUCAGAGCGGAGUCCAGCCCCUGGGCGGCCCAACUCCAGGGGAAGAUCACC
ensembl:lncRNA SLC12A2-DT SLC12A2 divergent transcript